GCCUCCUCAAAUCCAAUGGUUCGUACCUGAGACUUGAAUUUUUGUAGAGCUUAUACUAAAAUUGAGAAUGGAAAUAGGGAAUGUGUCAAAGAGACAACAACCCGACCAUAGAAAAAACAACAGCAGAAGGUCACGAACAGGUCUUCAAUGUAGCGAGAAAUUCCCCUACUCGGAGGCCUCCUUCAGCUGGCCCCUAAACAAAUAUAUACUAGUUCAGUGAUAAUGAACGCCAUAAUAAUUUCCAAAUUGUAUGAUAAGAAACUAAAAAUAAAAUAAUACAAGAUUAACAAACCCAGACGCUUAGUGACUUAGGACAGGCGCAAAAAUGCGGCGGGGUGACAGGGGAUCAGUAUUCAACUUUAAUAUAUUUAUAAAAUAAGCUUGGGCAUUUGGGGUUUAACAUGUUUUCGUAGGUAAAUAAUAUCAUGAAUGUUGUUGAACUUUUUUUUCAUUCCAUGAGAGUGUAAUAGUCUAUAGAGUAUUUACUAUUACUUUCUGUUUGGUGGAAUAGUGAAAUAGAAGUCAAUACGUUCUUGUUCAAUCCUGUAUCGCUUUAAAGGUUUCCUGAUUGUCAUGGCAUCCUCAGCCUAAGCAAUGCGUAUUACUGUAAUUUGAAUUUAAAAUUGACCAAAUUAAAUACUCGGGAAAUGGCAAAGUUCACGAAGUCUAGUCUGAUUAAUCAUUUUACAAAAAAAAAAAAAAAAAAAAGGCCAAGCAAAGGGGGGGCGUACGCCCUCUACGCCCCCCCCUGAAUCCGCCACUGA
rnacentral:lncRNA from 1 species